AGAAACAAAGUUAACUAAAAACA
rnacentral:misc_RNA from 1 species